AUUAGAUCACCGAAGUCAAGCAUCAUUGGGCACGGUCGUUACUUGGGUGGGUGACCAACUGGGAACACCGCGUGCCGUU